GAGUACACUGGUGGUGGAGGUGAAGGAGGGGGAGGGGGAGGGGGAGGUGGCAAGUAAACUGGUGGUGGAGGUGGUGGAGGCGGCGGUGGAGGUGGUAAGGAAACUGGUGGAAGUGAAGGCGGCGGAGGAGGAGGUGAAUUAACCGGUGGUGGAUAAGAUAUAACUGGAGGCGGCGGAGAAGGAAUUACAACCGGUGGGGAAGGCACUGGCAAUGGCGGAGAAGGUGGUGGUAGAGUCGGUAAUGUGGGCACAAACGGCGCACAGUUGAAAGAACUACAAUCCACUUUUUUACUUGAAAAUCCCUUACACUGACCAGCUGACCUUUGAGCAG
rnacentral:lncRNA from 1 species